AGUCCCAACGUCUUUAAGAAACGUUGGCAAGAAACCUUCUGUGGAGAAGGGAUGCAUACACCAGGGAAGAUGGCUGAGAGAGAGGGACAGGAAGAGGACUAUUCUGGGGAGAGAUAACUGCUUCUUAGAGGCAAUACAUUCAGGGAAUUAUAAUAGUCUGACUAGAGGGAUGGGAAAUCACGAAGGGUCAGAGAGGAGUCUGAAAGAAAAAUGGCUGGGGAGCAGGAUGGGCACAGCCCUGAAGGGAAUUUAACCAGGAAGGGGCAAAGUCAUCGAGACAGCACGGCAGAGACAAACAAACCACUCAAAGACGCACAGUUGUCGUCUAAGUGAGUGUGGUGCUGGCCGCAGAAUUUGCUCGUUUUGCAGGCAUUCUUCUAACAGAUAGCCUCUGAGAGCACAGGUCACUCCCCAGGCUCUGUUCCGGGCACUGAAGAUGCAACAGGAAGCAGCGGGGAGAACGAGAAAAUCCUUGUAAGAUGCUGAGCAGCGAUUAGCAUUCAAGAGGAAAGCUGGUCAGGAACGUUGCUGAGGACACUAGACUCUCCAUCAGUGUUUAAUCGCUAUGGCAUCAUUGACUUUAAAAAGUCUGAAAAAACGUGCUGCCACUGGAGGGCAUGUUGAUGUCCAUGAUCCCUGCUGUACUGAAGGCUACGCUGACGUCUUUCCUCGGUGCAUGAUGCUGCCAGAGGCCAGGUUGAUGUCCAUGAUCAGAGACGCUACCGGAAACCAUAUUGAUAUCCACUUACGUGAGAAGCCAAGAAAGCAGAGAACCAAAGGUCCACACGCUCCUCUCCCCGGACGCAACUGGACCGGAAAGAGAAACCCCGAUGAGGAUAACAUGGGCAUUGGAGGAUAGAAGUCAGAACAGCUGUCAACGCCUGUAUGAGAUGCUCACAAGACUGGACCAUUAAUAUGCCAGCGUUUGGCACUCACAAAACUCAGGAGUCUCAUGAGCAACGCAAGGAGAGGCAUAUGAGGGCCUUCUCCCAGAAGAUGGAUAAACAGUUAACAACUGCUGGGAAGAAGGAACAAGACUCUUUUCUGGUGGGCCUCUGUGAAUGAUACGUCACCUAUGUCCCUGUCACUGAAACUCAUUGAUUCACCAAACUAUGGUGGAGUGGAAUGAGAGAUCUUACUUGGUACCUGUGGCACUGACCACACCCAAAUGGUAUGUAAGUGUGCGGGAUUUAGGUCUGGGGGGAAGUACAGGUUCUCACUCUCUGGGUUCCUGUCAGGUCUCGGAGGGCAGCUGAGAUUGGAUGCUUGGAGUGCUGACCCUGGGUUGUUGGUUUCUCAUGUAAGUAAUUUCUCCCUAGUAAAAUUAACCUGCUUCAUCCCAAUCCUGUAUAUCAUAGAUUUUACUACCACAGUGGAGUUGUUUCUUCCAUAUAUUAUGGCCCCAUCUGGCUGAGCAGAAGUAGAUUCCACAGGAAAAGUCAGAUAGCACCCCCACCUCUUCCUGGUUCUGCCCAGCAUAGGCCUUACUCCCAACUUUGUCUUCUGAAUGGAGAUUUGAUAAUUUAGUAACACUACUAAAUAGUCUGAAGAGUUCCUUAGUCCCAGACCCCAGAGAAGUCACCAACAGACCUUCCCAUAGCUCCUUCCACCCAUCGAUAAAUUGGAGCCUGAUGCUGUGUUCAGAACAGACUGAACACAUCAUGACUCUACUCAUCCAGAACAGUGGACACUGUGGUGGUGUUAAGCUCACUGCUCACAGACGCUGAGGUCAGCUGGAUGCUCCUGUCUACGGUGGGGAUUCUCCUACCAACAGUCUCCUCCUUCCUCUUUGGCCUCAGCAAAAUAAUGAAGCACUUGGCAAGAAAUAUGCAGCCUAACACGCCAUAGCUGGAUGCCAAAAUGGCAAAUAUUUCCACGGCCACUUUGAACUUGCCUUUGGUGCUCAAGUAAACAGGGACAAAAGAGAUCCAGGUGAACAGGUAUAUAUAGCCACACCUGUCUUUUUGCUUGGGCACUGAAUCAUAAGUCUUCAGGUCUCAUGUUUUCAGGGUAAGUGCUCUUUAUCCACACAGCCAUCUUCCCAGACUCCCGUAUUUUUAUAAUAUUCAUUGAGGUGUGUUUUAGAAUUCAGAAGUGUAGUUUGUUUAUGCCUCAAUUGGAGGAGGUGUUCUUAUUUCAAGGAUGGGUAGGAUGCCUUUUCCAGGUCAGGCUUGGUGAUACAUUACUUGCAAUCCCAGAACGUGGAAGGCUAAUUCUGGGUGAUGGUGAGUUUGAAGCAGCCUGGGCUAUUAAUAGAGUGAGCUCCCAACUCAAAAACCAAUAGAAAAACAGUCAAAGGUAAGCCUGUGAAAUCUUCAAUCACUGAUAAGAGUGUACUGCCGUUGUAUUAGGAAAUGCUUAUGAAGUCUGGGUUCAACCACCAUGAGGGCCUGUGUAGGAAGGCUGUGAACGGCACACGGGGCAGAGUGAAGGAUGUUCUUCCCACAAAGCAUCCUAGAAAGAACUGUGUAAACUGUGAUGAGUGGAUGCACUCGAAUUCAAGGUUGUGGAGAGAAUGCCCUGCCGUGUUCACACCCAUGACAAGGGCAAAGGCCCGGGAGGAGGAGCCUUGGCUCUUUCACAUGGUUCAAGAUGAUGAGAUGUAACAUGACCAGUACUUCCUUGCUGUGCUUGCAUUUGCUCAAGCUGACAGUAAAUAAUCACCUAACGUGCUGUUUUCUUCUGUAUAAAAAGUGAGAAGCGCUCUUUAGGCAUUGCUCUUGAGUUCCCCAACCUAAUCGCCCAACUCAGAUCUUUGUCAUUUCCCUAUAUCUUCGAAGACAGCCUCGCUGACUUGUGUGGGUCAGCAAACUGCACUCGAAGCAACUCUAAAUAUACAAAUACAUCAAUUCCGGUAGAGAGGAAAAAUGUGAGCAUGACUGUACUUCGUUGAAAGAGUAUUAAAAUAGAAAUUUGCUGAAUUUUACUUUUUUAUCAUUUUAAUAGAAGGAGUUUCCUGCAAACAUUGGGCAAACAGCAACAUUUUCUUUAUUCUCCCCCCUCUAUAAAACAUGAGUGUCUACACUAUACUUAGCCUAAGGAAUGCAAAAAGAAAAGUGUCAAGAUUCAUCCAUGAAGUAGUUCAUCUCACAGGGAGUAGGCUCGGAGUCACAGACGGUGUUACAUAAUU